rnacentral:rRNA from 1 species
CACACUAUCAUUAACUGAAUCCAUAGGUUAAUGAGGCGAACCGGGGGAACUGAAACAUCUAAGUACCCCGAGGAAAAGAAAUCAACCGAGAUUCCCCCAGUAGCGGCGAGCGAACGGGGAGGAGCCCAGAGCCUGAAUCAGUGUGUGUGUUAGUGGAAGCGUCUGGAAAGGCGCGCGAUACAGGGUGACAGCCCCGUACACAAAAAUGCACAUAUUGUGAGCUCGAUGAGUAGGGCGGGACACGUGGUAUCCUGUCUGAAUAUGGGGGGACCAUCCUCCAAGGCUAAAUACUCCUGACUGACCGAUAGUGAACCAGUACCGUGAGGGAAAGGCGAAAAGAACCCCGGCGAGGGGAGUGAAAAAGAACCUGAAACCGUGUACGUACAAGCAGUGGGAGCACGCUUAGGCGUGUGACUGCGUACCUUUUGUAUAAUGGGUCAGCGACUUAUAUUCUGUAGCAAGGUUAACCGAAUAGGGGAGCCGAAGGGAAACCGAGUCUUAACUGGGCGUUAAGUUGCAGGGUAUAGACCCGAAACCCGGUGAUCUAGCCAUGGGCAGGUUGAAGGUUGGGUAACACUAACUGGAGGACCGAACCGACUAAUGUUGAAAAAUUAGCGGAUGACUUGUGGCUGGGGGUGAAAGGCCAAUCAAACCGGGAGAUAGCUGGUUCUCCCCGAAAGCUAUUUAGGUAGCGCCUCGUGAAUUCAUCUCCGGGGGUAGAGCACUGUUUCGGCAAGGGGGUCAUCCCGACUUACCAACCCGAUGCAAACUGCGAAUACCGGAGAAUGUUAUCACGGGAGACACACGGCGGGUGCUAACGUCCGUCGUGAAGAGGGAAACAACCCAGACCGCCAGCUAAGGUCCCAAAGUCAUGGUUAAGUGGGAAACGAUGUGGGAAGGCCCAGACAGCCAGGAUGUUGGCUUAGAAGCAGCCAUCAUUUAAAGAAAGCGUAAUAGCUCACUGGUCGAGUCGGCCUGCGCGGAAGAUGUAACGGGGCUAAACCAUGCACCGAAGCUGCGGCAGCGACGCUUAUGCGUUGUUGGGUAGGGGAGCGUUCUGUAAGCCUGUGAAGGUGUGCUGUGAGGCAUGCUGGAGGUAUCAGAAGUGCGAAUGCUGACAUAAGUAACGAUAAAGCGGGUGAAAAGCCCGCUCGCCGGAAGACCAAGGGUUCCUGUCCAACGUUAAUCGGGGCAGGGUGAGUCGACCCCUAAGGCGAGGCCGAAAGGCGUAGUCGAUGGGAAACAGGUUAAUAUUCCUGUACUUGGUGUUACUGCGAAGGGGGGACGGAGAAGGCUAUGUUGGCCGGGCGACGGUUGUCCCGGUUUAAGCGUGUAGGCUGGUUUUCCAGGCAAAUCCGGAAAAUCAAGGCUGAGGCGUGAUGACGAGGCACUACGGUGCUGAAGCAACAAAUGCCCUGCUUCCAGGAAAAGCCUCUAAGCAUCAGGUAACAUCAAAUCGUACCCCAAACCGACACAGGUGGUCAGGUAGAGAAUACCAAGGCGCUUGAGAGAACUCGGGUGAAGGAACUAGGCAAAAUGGUGCCGUAACUUCGGGAGAAGGCACGCUGAUAUGUAGGUGAAGUCCCUCGCGGAUGGAGCUGAAAUCAGUCGAAGAUACCAGCUGGCUGCAACUGUUUAUUAAAAACACAGCACUGUGCAAACACGAAAGUGGACGUAUACGGUGUGACGCCUGCCCGGUGCCGGAAGGUUAAUUGAUGGGGUCAGCGCAAGCGAAGCUCUUGAUCGAAGCCCCGGUAAACGGCGGCCGUAACUAUAACGGUCCUAAGGUAGCGAAAUUCCUUGUCGGGUAAGUUCCGACCUGCACGAAUGGCGUAAUGAUGGCCAGGCUGUCUCCACCCGAGACUCAGUGAAAUUGAACUCGCUGUGAAGAUGCAGUGUACCCGCGGCAAGACGGAAAGACCCCGUGAACCUUUACUAUAGCUUGACACUGAACAUUGAGCCUUGAUGUGUAGGAUAGGUGGGAGGCUUUGAAGUGUGGACGCCAGUCUGCAUGGAGCCGACCUUGAAAUACCACCCUUUAAUGUUUGAUGUUCUAACGUUGACCCGUGAUCCGGGUUGCGGACAGUGUCUGGUGGGUAGUUUGACUGGGGCGGUCUCCUCCUAAAGAGUAACGGAGGAGCACGAAGGUUGGCUAAUCCUGGUCGGACAUCAGGAGGUUAGUGCAAUGGCAUAAGCCAGCUUGACUGCGAGCGUGACGGCGCGAGCAGGUGCGAAAGCAGGUCAUAGUGAUCCGGUGGUUCUGAAUGGAAGGGCCAUCGCUCAACGGAUAAAAGGUACUCCGGGGAUAACAGGCUGAUACCGCCCAAGAGUUCAUAUCGACGGCGGUGUUUGGCACCUCGAUGUCGGCUCAUCACAUCCUGGGGCUGAAGUAGGUCCCAAGGGUAUGGCUGUUCGCCAUUUAAAGUGGUACGCGAGCUGGGUUUAGAACGUCGUGAGACAGUUCGGUCCCUAUCUGCCGUGGGCGCUGGAGAACUGAGGGGGGCUGCUCCUAGUACGAGAGGACCGGAGUGGACGCAUCACUGGUGUUCGGGUUGUCAUGCCAAUGGCACUGCCCGGUAGCUAAAUGCGGAAGAGAUAAGUGCUGAAAGCAUCUAAGCACGAAACUUGCCCCGAGAUGAGUUCUCCCUGACUCCUUGAGAGUCCUGAAGGAACGUUGAAGACGACGACGUUGAUAGGCCGGGUGUGUAAGCGCAGCGAUGCGUUGAGCUAACCGGUACUAAUGAACCGUGAGGCUUAACCUU